UCAGGGGGUUAGAACUUAACUCCUGAUCAUGCCCUUCGUGACCCGGUGUGAUAAUAGGGCCACCCCCCACCCCACUCGUGGGGAGGAAGUUAGACGUCCAAGUCCAAGAAGUUUGUGAGUAAUAGAGUUGCUUUUUUGUGUAUUUCCUAUGAUAACCAUCUCAACUCUUCUGCAACCUUCUGGGCCUGAAGCUACAUGGCCUCCCUUUCCUACAAGUGUCUUUUUUUCUCUGGUGCCAAGUGACUUCCUAUCCUGAUUCAAGUGAAUAUUGGCAUUCGUGUAACUUUAUUAUCUUUUAUUACCUGUUGCCCAUCCGGAUCGUCUUUCUCCUCUCUCCGGGGAGCUGUGUGUUGGCUUCAUACUAUCAAAGCUCUGAAAGAUAUUGAGCACACAGUUCAAGGGAGAGAGGCUUGCUCUUCAUCAUUGCUAGUUAGUAACUUAGUUAUUUACUUUGUCUACUCUUCCAAGUGCUUAUACCCCAGUCCUACUAUCUUAUUGUACCCACCAGAUAGCUUGUAACUCUUCCCUCUUUGACUUUUCUCAGCCUCCCCUCCCCAAUAUUGUGACCCAGCCCCACAAGUUUGGGAAGAAAACCGAUAAGUGCUGGAAACAGGACAGGUGAUUGGGA